GACGAACGCUGGCGGCGUGCCUAAUACAUGCAAGUUGAGCGCUUAAGGUUGGUACUUGUACCGACUGGAUGAGCAGCGAACGGGUGAGUAACGCGUGGGGAAUCUGCCUUUGAGCGGGGGACAACAUUUGGAAACGAAUUCUAAUACCGCAUAAAAACUUUAAACACAAGUUUUAAGUUUGAAAGAUGCAAUUGCAUCACUCAAAGAUGAUCCCGCGUUGUAUUAGCUAGUUGGUGAGGUAAAGGCCCACCAAGGCGAUGAUACAUAGCCGGCCUGAGAGGGUGAUCGGCCACAUUGGGACUGAGACACGGCCCAAACUCCUACGGGAGGCAGCAGUAGGGAAACUUCGGCAAUGGACGAAAGUCUGACCGAGCAACGCCGCGGGAGUGAAGAAGGUUUUCGGAUCGUAAAACUCUGUUGGUAGAGAAGAACGUUGGUGAGAGUGGAAAGCUCAUCAAGUGACGGUAACUACACAGAAAGGGACGGCUAACUACGUG
rnacentral:rRNA from 1 species